CCUAAACUUGCCAAGUUGAUUGUCAUACUGAGUAUGACAACUCCAGUUUUACAACAUAAAGACAUAGAUGGUUUGUACUAACAGGCCUUGAAAUUUAAAUCUGAUCCAUUAGUCCCCCAGUAAACUUUGUAAUAUUCAGAAGGAAGGAACUGAAGGUCAGAAAAUCAAAUCUGAUUUUGAAGUUCACCUCCAAACCCUUGCAUUUCCUGAAACUGAGCUCAUCAAUAAAAUUCGUUAGUUACCACAAUUUAUUAAAUAGGCAUUAAAGAUAUAAUACCUUACGUUACUCUACAGUGGACAGAAUGCUUCUAGAUUUUACUUAACUAACAGAUAAAACAUCUUAACUCAGACUUGAUAUAUGCCAUAAUUUUACCUGCAGGGAGUAAUUCAAUUUAUGGUUUCCAACACAGCUCAGUAGCAGUGAUGCCAGAACUGAAAAACUGGCCCUGGCACAGUGUAAUUGGGGCCCUCCUGUGCUGCAGUCACUCACCCUUAGAUGAGGAGGGGGGGCUCUCUCAUAUCCCAUGGCAGAGCCCACACCAGGACACAGUUUAACCUGCCCCCAAGAGAAGGACUCCAACCAACCUCUGAAGGAUUUUUGUGUGGCUACUGAGGCACACCAGGACAGUGCACAGGAGAAAAUUACUUGUAUGAGGGACAAGCUUCUAAUUGUCUAAUGCCCAAAUGCAAACCCCUCUGAUAUGGAGAGUGGUGAAGGAGACAAAGUCAGCCACCAAGUAGAAAUAAAUCUCACUCCAUGAUCUGCCCAAGGCUACAGCAGACCCUCAGUUGAUAUGCAGCACCUCUUAAUGUAACACACCAUGGAAGGGCAGUAACAAGAAUUCAGAAGCACAGGAAGACUCACUGAGUGGUACAGCCACUGUAAGAAAAGAACUAUUUUCAUGAUUCCAUGGAGUGUCAGCACUGGGGACUGACCAAGGCUGACAAUAGCAGCAGGCUGAUGUUUGCCAAGUGUCCUGAAGAUGGGAAGCUGUGGCUGAAGGCUGGAGUUGGGGGGAGGGCACUGGCACCAGCAAAUUGCUCCUUCAGUUGACAUAAACCAGCAAAGGAACGAAGUCCUCUGGCAGUAUCUGUUACACACCUCGAGGGGCACAGCCUAGGCUUCAACACUGGUUGCACACCCUUGCUCCUACAAACAUCACCCUGACACUUCC